rnacentral:rRNA from 1 species
UACGUAGGGUGCAAGCGUUGUCCGGAAUUAUUGGGCGUAAAGAGCUCGUAGGCGGUUUGUCGCGUCUGCUGUGAAAACCCGAGGCUCAACCUCGGGCCUGCAGUGGGUACGGGCAGACUAGAGUGCGGUAGGGGAGAUUGGAAUUCCUGGUGUAGCGGUGGAAUGCGCAGAUAUCAGGAGGAACACCAAUGGCGAAGGCAGAUCUCUGGGCCGGUAACUGACGCUGAGGAGCGAAAGCAUGGGGAGCGAACAGG